GCAGUCGAGCGGACCGACGGGAGCUUGCUCCCUURGGUCAGCGGCGGACGGGUGAGUAACACGUGGGUAACCUGCCUGUAAGACUGGGAUAACUCCGGGAAACCGGGGCUAAUACCGGAUGCUUGAUUGAACCGCAUGGUUCAAUYAUAAAAGGUGGCUUUUAGCUACCACUURCAGAUGGACCCGCGGCGCAUUAGCUAGUUGGUGAGGUAACGGCUCACCAAGGCGACGAUGCGUAGCCGACCUGAGAGGGUGAUCGGCCACACUGGGACUGARACACGGCCCAGACUCCUACGGGAGGCAGCAGUAGGGAAUCUUCCGCAAUGGACGAAAGUCUGACGGAGCAACGCCSCGUGAGUGAUGAAGGUUUUCGGAUCGUAAAACUCUGUUGUUAGGGAAGAACAAGUACCGUUCGAAUAGGGCGGYACCUUGACGGUACCUAACCAGAAAGCCACGGCUAACUACGUGCCAGCAGCCGCGGUAAUACGUAGGUGGCAAGCGUUGUCCGGAAUUAUUGGGCGUAAAGCGCGCGCAGGCGGUUUCUUAAGUCUGAUGUG
rnacentral:rRNA from 1 species